GACGAACGCUGGCGGCGUGCUUAACACAUGCAAGUCGAACGGAAAGGCCCUGCUUUUGUGGGGUGCUCGAGUGGCGAACGGGUGAGUAACACGUGAGUAACCUGCCCUUGACUUUGGGAUAACUUCAGGAAACUGGGGCUAAUACCGGAUAUGAGCUCCUGCUGCAUGGUGUGGGUUGGAAAGUUUCGGCGGUUGGGGAUGGACUCGCGGCUUAUCAGCUUGUUGGUGGGGUAGUGGCUUACCAAGGCUUUGACGGGUAGCCGGCCUGAGAGGGUGACCGGCCACAUUGGGACUGAGAUACGGCCCAGACUCCUACGGGAGGCAGCAGUGGGGAAUAUUGCACAAUGGGCGGAAGCCUGAUGCAGCAACGCCGCGUGCGGGAUGACGGCCUUCGGGUUGUAAACCGAUUUCGACUGUGACGAAGAGUGAGUGACGGUAAUGGGUAAAGAAGCACCGGCUAACUACGUG
rnacentral:rRNA from 1 species